AACAAAGCUUCCCACCGAGAAUUGACUCUGGCCCCGGCUGCUAUUUACAUACAGACGAAACUCGCUGACCCACUACUGUGGUACCGUUUCCAUAAGCGCUUACUCCACCUAAGAGGGGGCGUCUGGAAAACGUGGACGGUGAACAGCCAACAGCAGGACUCGUCUGUCUGCUUGCUGGUGGACAGCUGAUGGCGGCAGCAGUCUUGUGUCCAUAUUGUCGUCCUUCCAUCUGAGGUCUAGUCCCCUCCCCCUGCAGAGCCCCCCCAGCAGGGGGCCUAUUUAGGUCGGGAAGCAGAUGCCGCAG